GGAGUGGCUCAGUUGGUAGAGCAGCUGAUUCGUAAUCAGCAGGUCGUCGGUUCGAGUCCGAUCUCC
rnacentral:tRNA from 1 species